rnacentral:rRNA from 1 species
UGCCAGCAGCCGCGGUAAUACGUAGGGUGCAAGCGUUGUCCGGAUUUAUUGGGUUUAAAGGGUGCGCAGGCGGUCUAUUAAGUCAGUGGUGAAAUCGUCCUGCUCAACGGGAUACCCGCCAUUGAUACUGGUAGACUUGAGUACAAUAGAGGAAGCUGGAAUGCGUGGUGUAGCGGUGAAAUGCAUAGAGAUCACGCAGAACACCGAUUGCGAAGGCAGGCUUCUAUGUUGUAACUGACGCUGAGGCACGAAAGCGUGGGUAGCGAACAGGAUUAGAUA